rnacentral:rRNA from 1 species
GAAUAUUAGUCAAUGCUCGAAAGAGUGAACUAGCUAACUGAAAUCAAUUAUAAUAAUUGAUAACAUAAGGGAAAAUAAUGAUAUUACCUUAUUAUUAGUGUCGUCCAAAUCUGGUGCCAGAAGACUCGGUAAGGCCAGAGACACAAACGUUAAUCGUCUUAAUCAGGCGUAAAGGGUUUGUAGGCGGCUUUUAAAUUUACUUAUACAAAAUUAAAAAGAUAAAUAAGUUAAUAAUAAAAGCUAGAAUCAAAUAGAGGAUAUAUCAAAUAAUGCUUAGAGUAGGUCUGAUAUCCUUAGAUACUAAGUAGAAUAUUAAAGGCGAAAGCUUUUUUCCAAUAAUGAUUGACGCUCAGAAACGAAGGUGAGGAUAGGAAAUAGGAUUAGAUACCCAAAAUACCCCUCUCUGUCAACGAUGAAUGGUAGUUAUUAGUAAUAAACUUAUUAAUGGCAAUGUUAACACGAUAACCAUUCCGCCUUGUGAGUACAACUGCAAAGUUGAAAACAAAAAAAUUAGUCGGUUUCGGAGCAAACGAAGUGAAGCAUGUUAUUUAAUUC